rnacentral:lncRNA from 10 species
GGGGGAGAUGCCCUUAGCUGCAAAAGCUCCGGGCGGCCAGGCAGAGUGCUGGCCUCGGUGGGCUCACAGGGCGGAGAAGGGGGUCGGGCUGCAGGAGGAGGCGCCUGGACCUCCGGAGCAGAGUCGGGUAGCGGUCCGUGCCGGGACGGGGGACCCGUCGGCGCCGGGCAGACAAUACAAGCGCCUCGGACCGAGUCCCCGAACCUGCCCUAGCCAAAAUGGCGGCCGAGAAAGAGCGGAAGUGACACAGGGUCUCACUCUGUUGUCCAGGCAUGAUCACAGCUCACUGCAGCCUUGACCUCCCAGACUCAAGUGAACCUCCCACCUCAGCCUCCCAAGUAGCUGGGACCACAGGUGAGUGCCACCACACCCAGCUUUUUUUAUAUUUUUGUAGAGACAGGAUCUCCCUAUGUUCCCUAGGCUGGUCUCAAAUGCCUGUGCUCAAGCCAUCCUCUUGCCUUGGCCUCCCAAAGUGCUGGGAUUAUAGACAUGGGCCAUUGUGCUGGGCCUCAAUUUCUUCAGCAGCCAAGUUAAGCCAGGAAAAUGUAGUAAUUAGGAAUACUGUUCAAUAAAUAAUUUAGAGACACCUCUUACUUUUAUUUCCAGAAGAAAGUCAACUUAAACUUACUUGCUCAAAGCAUGCCCUUACUCAAAUUUUAAAAGAUACUACAUGACCAUAACCUAUGCUACAGUUAGAAAUUAACUGAUCUCUUCUGAAAUACCUACUUUAGAGAAAGUGGGUAAACAUAAUAUUUGCCCUGGCUUUAUUGGAUAGCUUAGCCCAAAUUUUAACUGGCAGAACACUUUUCUAAAUGGAGAGAAGAGCUUAAGGCAGAGAUUUUUCAAAUUAGUAGGGAUGUGAGCUUUGCUGAGGGUCUUUAAAUAAUAUGAAAACAAGUCUUUUGAGAAAAAAAUUGUUAUAUAAUUCAGUAAGAUGUUUAAAAAUUACUGUAGCAGCUAAGUUUCUGCCUCAGUGUCAUUAAUAUUUUUCCUUACUGAUAGAGGUUAUUGCUCAAAAGAGAAAAAAACGGCUAUGUAAUCAACUGCUGUCAAAUUGUUUCCCAAUUCACAAUAUGCAUUUUAAAUAGACCUGCUUUGAUAGAUGAAAUGUUUCAUCAAUUCAACAGCUGAAAAGAACCGAACUGUAAAUGCCUGCUCUAAAUGUAUUUUCUAGUUUAAGAAAUUUGAGAUACAUUUUUAAGGAAAGGGCAGAGGUGUGUAUUUCUUUUUCAAUUCAUACAGACACAGCCAUAAACAUUUCAUCAGUUAACAUUAUCUUACUUCUGAGAUCAAUUAGGUAUAAAGAUCUAUGAUUCCAGUUUUUAAAAAGACUAUUUCAAAUUAUUCCCCAUGUAAAAAAUUCUACAUUCACAUACUCUAAUGAAGGCAGCAAUACUUUAUGCAAAAAAAAAUAUACAUUUAUUUAUAGGUCUCAAUACAGCAAAAUGAAAACGAAAAUUGAGAA